rnacentral:rRNA from 1 species
AAAUAGAACUUUGCAGAGAGAGUUAACAGGGCGUGAAACCGUUAAUUGGCAAACGAAUCGGAGCCACGAAGUCGUUUCGUUGUUAGCUGGGCUAGGUUCAGCUAGUGAGCCAAAACUCACUAGUGUACUCUUGGUUCGGCCAACUUUGUAAGCGUACACUGCAACCAGUUAGACGAUUGGCCAUGGGCCCAGUUGCUAGAGUUAGUAGUAGUGCGGUGCGUUUCGGCGCAUUCGUGUUGCUGGGCUUUGGAACGUGAACUAUGGCCAAAUACUGACUGGCGAAAUGAAAAUCGCACCAUGUGCGUUUGAAAAAAUGCGGCUGGCUACAUGUUUGCCUACGCUACCGACCAUUGAGUCUAAGCUCGGUGUUUUUGAAUUCAGACUUGCUCGCUACCAGUGGGGCAACUCCUGGUGCUUGUAUAGCUUCUGUCUAAUCGGGCAUCGACUUGGCUUUGUGCGAUCGAGAGCGAAACGAUUGGGUAGACAUGUAAGUUAGCUCGCCAUUAAUUGGCAGUGAGUAGGUCGGCUUUCCGAACGACCCGUCUUGAAACACGGACCAAGGAGUCUAAUUAGGUAUCGAGUCGAUCGGUCUUGAAUAGGCCAGACUGGUGGUAGCCUGCCGAUUGAAGGCGUAGAGAUCGUGUGAUCAGUCUAGCAACAACAGCUUGCAUGCGCAACAUGUGCCUGUUCGUAUAGUAAUGUAGCAAUAAUUACUGGACGGAGCAAAGAGAUACCUGAUUGGUACCCGAAAGAUGGUGAUGCUUGGGCAAAUUGAAGCCAGAGGAAACUCUGGUGGAGGAUUUAGCUGACGUGCAAAUCGAUCGUCAGACCUGAGUAUAGGGGCGAAAGACUAAUCGAACCAUC